GACGAACGCUGGCGGCGUGCUUAACACAUGCAAGUCGAACGAAGUGGCGAACGGGUGAGUAACGCGUAAUCAACCUGCCCUUGAGGGGGGGACAACAGUUGGAACCGUAUGCUAAUACCGCAUACUGAAGGAGGAGAUUGCGUCUGAUUAGCUAGUUGGGGGGGUAACGGCCCACCAAGGCGAUGAUGAGUAGGCGGUCUGGGAGGGUGGACGGCCACAUUGGGACUGGGACACGGCCCAGACUCCUACGGGGAGCAGCAGUUGGGAAUCUUCCGCAAUGGGCGAAAGUCUGACGGAGCAACGGCGCGUGAGUGAUGACGGCCUUCGGGUUGUAAAGCUCUGUUCAUCGGGGCGCGGUACCGGAAUAGGAAGCCACGGCUAACUACGUGCCAGCAGCCGCGGUAAUUC
rnacentral:rRNA from 1 species